rnacentral:rRNA from 1 species
AACUUUGGACAAUGGGUGAAACCCUGAUCCAGCCAUCCCGCGUGUAUGAUGAAGGCCUUCGGGUUAUAAAGUACUUUUGGCAGAGAAGAAAAGGUAGCUCCUAAUACGAGCUAAUGCUGACGGCAGCUGCAGAAUAAGCACCGGCUAACUACGUGCACGCAGCGGCGGUAAGACGUAGGGUGCAAGCGUUAAUCGGAAUUACUGGGCGUAAAGCGUGUGUAGGCGGUUCGGAAAGAAAGAUGUGAAAUCCCAGGGCUCAACCUUGGAACUGCAUUUUUAACUGCCGAGCUAGAGUAUGUCAGAGGGGGGUAGAAUUCCACGUGUAGCAGUGAAAUGCGUAGAUAUGUGGAGGAAUACCGAUGGCGAAGGCAGCCCCCUGGGAUAAUACUGACGCUCAGACACGAAAGCGUGGGGAGCAAACA